GGUUAACGCUGGCGGCGUGCCUAACACAUGCAAGUCGAACGGUUCUAAGCGCGAGCUUAGGAUAGUGGCGAACGGGUGAGUAAAAGGUAGGAAUCUACCCCUUGGACGGAGAUAGCUACUGGAAACGGUAGGUAAACUUCGAUAAGCCCGAGAGGGGAAAGUGGUGAGACAGCCGAGGGAUGAGCCUACUCUCCAUCAGGUAGUUGGUGAGAUAAAAGCUUACCAAGCCGAUGACGGAUAACCGGUGUGAGAGCAUGAACGGUCACAAGGGCACUGAGAGACGGGCCCUACUCCUACGGGAGGCAGCAGUGGGGAAUCUUGGACAAUGGGCGAAAGCCUGAUCCAGCGACGCCGCGUGGAGGAAGAAGGCCUUCGGGCUGUAAACUUCUUUGAUUGGGGACGAAGGAAGUGACGGUACCCAAAAACAAGCCACGGCUAACUACGUG
rnacentral:rRNA from 1 species